AUACGGAGGGGGUUAGCGUUGUUCGGAAUUACUGGGCGUAAAGCGUACGUAGGCGGACUGGAAAGUUGGGGGUGAAAUGCCGGGGCUCAACCCCGGAACUGCCUCCAAAACUUCCAAUCUAGAGAUCGAGAGAGGUGAGUGGAAUUCCAAGUGUAGAGGUGAAAUUCGUAGAUAUUUGGAGGAACACCAGUGGCGAAGGCGGCUCACUGGCUCGAUACUGACGCUGAGGUACGAAAGCGUGGGGAGCAAACAGGAUUAGAAACCCCAGUAGUCC
rnacentral:rRNA from 1 species